rnacentral:sRNA from 1 species
UAACAGAAAAAGGCUUGCGGGGCGGUCGGCAUUCCUCCGAAGGGAGGUGAUGCCGUGGAAGUAUACCAGACUUUGAUGCUGAUGAUUUCAUCAUUCCAUAAACGGAAAUAGACCGCCUCUGUGCAAGGGUUCGGUCUAUUCCGCACUCUUUGAAGCCGUCCGCUCUUUAAGCGGCUGUUACAUUGGAGUCAUGGGUCCAACAUGACUC